rnacentral:rRNA from 1 species
CUCGUAGGCGGUCUGUUACGUCUGCUGUGAAAACCCUGGGCUUAACCCUGGGCUUGCAGUGGAUACGGGCAGACUAGAGGCAGGUAGGGGAGAAUGGAAUUCCCGGUGUAGCGGUGAAAUGCGCAGAUAUCGGGAGGAACACCGGUGGCGAAGGCGGUUCUCUGGGCCUGACCUGACGCUGAGGAGCGAAAGCGUGGGGAGCGAACA